rnacentral:rRNA from 1 species
CCAAUAGCGUAUAUUAAAGUUGUUGCAGUUAAAAAGCUCGUAGUUGAAUUUCGGGGUCAGUAGGUUGGUCAUGCCACUGGUAUGUACUGGUCUCACUGAUUCCUCCUUCCUGAUGAACUGUAAUGCCAUUAAUUUGGUGUUGCGGGGAAUCUGGACUGUUACUUUGAAAAAAUUAGAGUGUUUAAAGCAGGCUAACGCCUGAAUACAUUAGCAUGGAAUAAUGAAAUAGUACGUUCGAUCCUAUUUUGUUGGUUUCUAGGAUUGACGUAAUGAUUAAUAGGGAUAGUUGGGGGCAUUAGUAUUCAAUUGUCAGAGGUGAAAUUCUUGGAUUUAUUGAAGACUAAAUACUGCGAAAGCAUUUGCCAAGGAUGUUUUCAUUAAUCAAGAACGAAAGUUAGGGGAUCGAAGACGAUCAGAUACCGUCGUAGUCUUAACCAUAGACUAUGCCGACUAGGGAUCGGAUGAUGUUAAUUUUUUAAUGACUCAUUCGGCGCCUUACG